rnacentral:rRNA from 1 species
GACGAACGCUGGCGGCGUGCUUAACACAUGCAAGUCGAACGAUGAAGCGGUGCUUGCACCGUGGAUUAGUGGCGAACGGGUGAGUAAUACGUGAGUGACCUACCUUUGACUCUGGGAUAAGCCUGGGAAACUGGGUCUAAUACCGGAUACGACCAAUCUCUGCAUGGGGUGUUGGUGGAAAGCGUUAUGGAGUGGUUUUAGAUGGGCUCACGGCCUAUCAGCUUGUUGGUGAGGUAAUGGCUUACCAAGGCGACGACGGGUCGCCGGCCUGGGAGGGUGACCGGCCACACUGGGACUGAGACACGGCCCAGACUCCUACGGGAGGCAGCAGUGGGGAAUAUUGCACAAUGGGCGCAAGCCUGAUGCAGCGACGCCGCGUGAGGGAUGACGGCCUUCGGGUUGUAAGCCUCUGUUAGCAUCGAAGAAGCGAAAGUGACGGUAGGUGCAGAGAAGGCGCCGGCUAGCUACGUG